GACGAACGCUGGCGGCGUGCUUAACACAUGCAAGUCGAACGAUGAAGCCGGAGCUUGCUCUGGUGAAUUAGUGGCGAACGGGUGAGUAACACGUGAGUAACCUGCCCUUGACUCUGGGAUAACUGCUAGAAAUGGUAGCUAAUACCGGAUACGACCCUCGGCGGCAUCGCCAGGGGGUGGAAAGAAUUUCGGUCAAGGAUGGACUCGCGGCCUAUCAGCUAGUUGGUGAGGUAACGGCUCACCAAGGCGACGACGGGUAGCCGGCCUGAGAGGGGAACCGGCCACACUGGGACUGAGACACGGCCCAGACUCCUACGGGAGGCAGCAGUGGGGAAUAUUGCACAAUGGGCGCAAGCCUGAUGCAGCAACGCCGCGUGAGGGAUGACGGCCUUCGGGUUGUAAACCUCUUUUAGUAGGGAAGAAGCGAAAGUGACGGUACCUGCAGAAAAAGCACCGGCUAACUACGUGCCAGCAGCCGCCGUAA
rnacentral:rRNA from 1 species